rnacentral:rRNA from 1 species
UGCAUAUCAAAAGCGGAGGAAAAGAAACCAACAGGGAUUGCCUUAGUAGCGGCGAGUGAAGCGGCAAAAGCUCAAAUUUGAAAUCUGGCACUUUCAGUGUCCGAGUUGUAAUUUGAAGAAGGUAUCUUUGGGUCUGGCUCUUGUCUAUGUUUCUUGGAACAGAACGUCACAGAGGGUGAGAAUCCCCUGCAAUGAGAUGUCCCAGACCUAUGUAAAGUUCCUUCGAAGAGUCGAGUUGUUUGGGAAUGCAGCUCUAAGUGGGUGGUAAAUUCCAUCUAAAGCUAAAUAUUGGCGAGAGACCGAUAGCGAACAAGUACAGUGAUGGAAAGAUGAAAAGAACUUUGAAAAGAGAGUGAAAAAGUACGUGAAAUUGUUGAAAGGGAAGGGCUUGAGAUCAGACUUGGUAUUUUGUAUGUUACUCUCUCGGGGGUGGCCUCUACAGUUUACCGGGCCAGCAUCAGUUUGAGCGGUAGGAUAAGUGCAAAGAAAUGUGGCACUGCUUCGGUAGUGUGUUAUAGUCUUUGUCGAUACUGCCAGCUUAGACUGAGGACUGCGGCUUCGGCCUAGGAUGUUGGCAUAAUGAUCUUAAGUCGCCCGUCUUGAAACAC